GAACAAGGCCAUGGCACCCCGAACGAGCCAGAUCUUGUCUGAUCUUGGAAGCUAAGCACUGUUGGGCCCGGUUAGUACUCGGAUGGGAGACCACCCAGGAAGCCCAGGUGCUGUAGGCA
rnacentral:rRNA from 1 species